rnacentral:misc_RNA from 1 species
UACGAGAGCCCCAAGCGUUAGCCGGAAUUAUUGGGCGUAAAGGGUCCGCAGGCGGGAUGAUGCGUCUGCUGUGAAAUCUGUGCGGCUCAACCGCACAAAAUGCAGCGGAUACGAUCAUUCUUGAGGCAAGGAGAGGUAAGCGGAACUCCUGGUGGAGCGGUGAAAUGCGUUGAUAUCAGGGGGAACACCAAUUGCGAAGGCAGCUUACUGGCCUUGUCCUGACGCUCAGGGACGACAGCGUGGGUAUCGAACGGG